rnacentral:rRNA from 1 species
AUUGGUCAAUGGUCGGGAGACUGAACCAGCCAAGCCGCGUGAGGGAGGAAGGUACAGAGUAUCGUAAACCUCUUUUGUCAGGGAACAAAGGCGGGGACGUGUCCCCGGAUGAGUGUACCUGAAGAAAAAGCAUCGGCUAACUCCGUGCCAGCAGCCGCGGUAAUACGGAGGAUGCGAGCGUUAUCCGGAUUUAUUGGGUUUAAAGGGUGCGUAGGCGGAACAUUAAGUCAGCGGUAAAAUUGAGGGGCUCAACCCCUUUAAGCCGUUGAAACUGGUGAUCUUGAGUGGGCGAGAAGUAUGCGGAAUGCGUGGUGUAGCGGUGAAAUGCAUAGAUAUCACGCAGAACUCCGAUUGCGAAGGCAGCAUACCGGCGCCCGACUGACGCUGAGGCACGAAAGCGUGGGGAUCGAACAGG